rnacentral:rRNA from 1 species
GAACGAGACCUUCGGGUCUAGUGGCGCACGGGUGCGUAACGCGUGGGAAUCUGCCCUUGGGUUCGGAAUAACAGUGAGAAAUUACUGCUAAUACCGGAUGAUGACGUAAGUCCAAAGAUUUAUCGCCCAAGGAUGAGCCCGCGUAAGAUUAGCUAGUUGGUGGGGUAAAGGCCUACCAAGGCGACGAUCUUUAGCUGGUCUGAGAGGAUGAUCAGCCACACUGGGACUGAGACACGGCCCAGACUCCUACGGGAGGCAGCAGUGGGGAAUAUUGGACAAUGGGCGAAAGCCUGAUCCAGCAAUGCCGCGUGAGUGAUGAAGGCCUUAGGGUUGUAAAGCUCCUUUACCAGGGAUGAUAAUGACAGUACCUGGAGAAUAAGCUCCGGCUAACUCCGUGCCAGCAGCCGCGGUAAUACGGAGGGAGCUAGCGUUGUUCGGAAUUACUGGGCGUAAAGCGUGCGUAGGCGGUGACUCAAGUCAGAGGUGAAAGCCUGGAGCUCAACUCCAGAACUGCCUUUGAAACUAGGUCGCUAGAAUCUGGGAGAGGUGAGUGGAAUUCCGAGUGUAGAGGUGAAAUUCGUAGAUAUUCGGAAGAACACCAGUGGCGAAGGCGGCUCACUGGACCAGAAUUGACGCUGAGGCACGAAAGCGUGGGGAGCAAACA